GGCGCGCAAAUUACCCAAUCCCGACACGGGGUNUUUAGUGACAAUAAAUACUGAUACGGGGCUCUUUUGGGUCUCGUAAUUGGAAUGAGUACAAUCUAAAUCCCUUAACGAGGAACAAUUGGAGGGCAAGUCUGGUGCCAGCAGCCGCGGUAAUUCCAGCUCCAAUAGCGUAUAUUAAAGUUGUUGCAGUUAAAAAGCUCGUAGUUGAACCUUGGGUCUGGCUGGCCGGUCCGCCUCACCGCGAGUACUGGUCCGGCUGGACCUUUCCUUCUGGGGAACCUCAUGGCCUUCACUGGCUGUGGGGGGAACCAGGACUUUUACUGUGAAAAAAUUAGAGUGUUCAAGCAGGCCUUUGCUCGAAUACAUUAGCAUGGAAUAAUAGAAUAGGACGUGCCGGNUCUAUUUUGUUGGNUUCUAGGACCGCCGUAAUGAUUNAAUAGGGAAUAGUCGGGGGCGUCAGUAUUCCAGCUGUCAGAGG
rnacentral:rRNA from 1 species